rnacentral:rRNA from 1 species
UGAGGAAUAUUGGUCAAUGGGCGAGAGCCUGAACCAGCCAUUCCGCGUGAAGGAAGAAGGCCCUACGGGUUGUAAACUUCUUUUCUGUAAGAAGAAACGCCCCGAUGUAUCGGGGUUUGACGGUAUUAUAGGAAUAAGCAUCGGCUAACUCCGUGCCAGCAGCCGCGGUAAUACGGAGGAUGCAAGCGUUAUCCGGAUUUAUUGGGUUUAAAGGGUGCGCAGGUUGUUGGACAAGUCAGUGGUGAAAGUCUGCCGCUUAACGGAAGGAUUGCCAUUGAUACUGUUUAACUUGAGUAUGGAUGAGGUAGGCGGAAUGUGUAGUGUAGCGGUGAAAUGCAUAGAUAUUACACAGAACGCCGAUUGCGAAGGCAGCUUACUAGGCCAUUACUGACGCUGAGGCACGAAAGCGUGGGGAUCAAACAGG